UUUUUUUUUUUUUUUUUUUUUAUUCUGUAUUUCAAACAAGCCAGGUAAUGCCCGAGCUACUGGUUCUCUGACCACCCUUUGAGAGAGAUAAGGACGUAGAGGAAAGUGGAUGAGUAAGGCACAUGGGUUUUGAGUGUAAUCAACAUAAAUGCAAAAUAAGGACCUAGUUUGACAAGUCACAAAACAUGGCAAAGAGGAACAACAAGAAUGCAUUUUACAAGUAGUUCAUGUAUUUAUUAAGAAUGUACCAAAUUCUUGGGAUGCCUGGACGGCUCAUCGGUUCAACCUUCAGCUCAGGAUGUGAUCCCAGACUCUGGGAUCAAGUCCUGCAUCAGACUCCUUGCGAGGAGCCUGCUUCUCCCUCUGCCUAUGUCUCUGCCUCUCUCUCUAUGUAUCUCUCAUGAAUAAAUAAAUAAAAUCUUUUAAAAAAAUGUACCAAAUUCUUAUUUAAUCUGUGUAUGUCUCUCUUUUGUCGAGAAUAACACAAGGCACAUUAGGUCCAGCCUCUGAGUUUAAGGAUAUCUUAAUAUGUACAAGAAAACAUAAAGAAAAUGCUAGCAAUUAAUACAUAGAUAUAAAAUUUUCAGAAAUAAACAACGGGCAACACUUGUUAGGGAUGGUAGCUAGACAGCUCAAAUAUUUCUUUGGAUUAAUUUUUUUGGAUGCAGACAUCACAAAAUUUUUCAACUGACCAUUAAUUUUGAAGUUGAAUACAUAUUGAGUGAAUUAUCAUCCACCUUCCCCACAUUCAAGUUUAAAAGAAGACAUGACAGAUGUAAAGUUUUCAUCAAUUUGAGAAUAGUAGAAGGAAAAAGGAGGCUGCCCCUUGAAUCUAAGCGAUCCUAUCUCUUUAAGCCUUUUUCACAGUGGAGAGCUACAUGAACCAUGAGUCUGAAAUCAUUUGGUUCAGACAGAAGAGACAUGACAAGGAAAAAAUGUCAUGAAGAGAAGAAACAAUGUUAGAUGUUGAGAAAUUACCUAGUGCUCUUUUAGGCAUUUCUUCCUGUCUACUGUUUUGCACCCCCUGCCCCUUUUUGCUGCUGCUCCAUCAUGUUAGCCUAUGGAUAACACAUUGCUUGUGCUAUUCUUACCUCCGUCACACACGGUGUGCUUAUAGCUGUUCAGAACAUUGGAGCGGCACAAAAAGAUUGGUAAGAGAAAGUUCAGUGUCUUUAGAAACUUGCUAGCUGCUUUAGAAGAAAGGGUUAAAUAUAAAACUACAUUAUGAAGUAGCAUUGGCCAAAAGUCCUUUGCAGAGUAGUGUUCCAUGAAAUUCUACUAGAAAUGUGGACUAAAAGAGAGUUUGAUGCUGAUAAGAGUUUGUAAAAUACCAUAGAUGAAAAUUUCUAAAGAUUCUCAGAAUUAUGGCAGUAAAUUAGUCUGUUCUAAAGUUUCUAAAGUUAUUUGUUUUUUUUUAAACCACUGUACUAUUUUAUAUCGUAAACACUAUUACUAAUUUAAGGACUUAGUAUUCCUCAGAGGAUAAAUAAGGGACUAUUAUUGCAAAUAUUCAAAUCCUUGCUACAGUCAGUGUAAUUGCUAUUAGGGAAGCCAGUGAUCAUUUCAGAAAUCAGGGACCACAUUAAUGAGGAGUUGGAACUGACACUGAAUGAUGUGAGUAGUUUGAGCAUUCACAAAAUAAGAUAUUCUGGAUUUGGAUGGAAGCUGAGAGGGUUAACGGAAUAAAUAAAAAUGUUGAGGAGGAAACAGUUCAGGGUUCAGGUGUGUUUAAACCACAAUGAGAAAAUCAAUAUGCCUGGAGAGGAGGGUUUUGAUUGAGUGAAAAUCAAUUUGGCAAGGCUGAUUAUAAAGACCCUUGCAUUUUUGGGUUAGGUUCUAUGAAGAUUGAACUAUGCAUUAAUUGCAUCCAGAGGGGAAUAAAUAGGGAAUAUGUCUUUAGCAUUCUGACCAAACCAUUUCUUUCAUUCUUUAAAAACUUCAUUGUUACUUCUGGUUUUAAAAAUAACUCAAGCACAUGGCGGAAAUCUUAUAACAUAAAACAGUAAACAAAAGAAAGUUAAAAUCACUCAUAAAUGCAAUGACCAGAUAAUGCAGUUGACAUUGGGAAUAUCCUUUGCCAAUUUUUCCUAAGCAUACACAUGUUCACACACUCAGUCUUGAAAAGUCAGCUCACUCCAUGUCAUAGUGGCUAAAAACUAAACUCCUAAGAGGUAAGAAAGUUAAUAUAAAUGUGUGUAGCAGGCUAGAGAGGGUGAGGUGUUGAAGAUGCAGUCUUUCACACAGACACAUUACAAAUUAAAUACAUGGAAUGUUCUUUGCCUUCCACAAGGAAAUAUACUAUUUCCUCCCACUACACCCUUGCACUAUGUUUUAUUUCAAACAUAUAGCCAUAUCUGGGUCCAUUUUUAAUGUAACUACACUUCGUGGAUACAGGUAUAAAAAAUUUAUUUUGUCAACUCUAAUGUUAGAAAAACAAUAGAUAAAUGGUGCUGGACUCUAAGCCUCAGUGUGUGGGAGGCUGAGAGAGGGGAAAGAGCACUGACUGAGGGUGCGGCCACCCCUCAGCCGCAGCUAGCUACUGCUGCCAACCAGGACUGAAAAUAAAAGUUGGCAGAUCCUCAUAGUUUUCAAGAGAAGACAGAAAUCCAGUACUUAUGUGUUACUAUCUGACUUUUUAAAAAUAGGAAUUCAUCCUUUUAACAAGAGCAUCAGAAUUCAAGAGUGAAACAAAACACAUACUAGACCCUACAGUUGGCACCUUGUGCUUAUACAUACCCACAAAACAAAACAAGACAAGAACAAUGAAACUUCCUGGUUCUUUACAGUUAAGAAAUAAUACUAUCGGGAUCCCUGGGUGGCGCAGCGGUUUGGCGCCUGCCUUUGGCCCAGGGCGCGAUCCUGGAGACCCAGGAUCGAGUCCCACGUCGGGCUCCCGGUGCAUGGAGCCUGCUUCUCCCUCUGCCUGUGUCUCUGCCUCAUUCUCUCUCUCUCUCUCUGUGACUAUCACAAAUAAAUAGAAAUUAAAAAAAAAAUAAAAAAAAAGAAAUGAUACUAUCGUGCAUCCUUUAUUGUAGGAAAUCUUUUUGUUUGUUGUUGUUUAAUUUUAUUUAUAUUCAAUCGGCCAAUAUAUAGUAUAACAGCUAGUCUGCCAGGAAAUCUUGAAUGGGUAAUGGACAUUUCUACUUACUAGACUUGUCCAUCCUUAGAUGAUGUGACCUGAUAUAUUAUUUACUUUUGUAUUAGCAUAUUAUGAAUCUUUCAUUGUAAAAAAGACUCAUUUGGAAAGUCUGUAGCAUUUUAAAGAUAUGCUUGCUGAAUGUAUAUUUUGUUGAUUUGAAUAGGUAUUUGCCCACUGGAGGAAGAUCUAUUCCCAAAUGCCACUUAGGUUAUUUUCAAGAACUCCCUACUGAAUGUUGAUGCAGCUGUGUGCCUUUGCAGAAAUGGAAACAAAGCCGGCUGUGUCGAACCUUGGAAUCACGGUGAGUAAUUAGCACAAAGUCUGUAAUCAGGGAAAGGUUAGGUUAGGAAAAGAGGAAUAUAAAUGUCUGUGACACACAAAAAGGAACAAGAGAGAGAUCAUCUGAACAAGAACAACAAGAGCAAAAAGAACUCUUGAACUUAUAACGUAAAAAAAAAAAACAAGCAAACUAGUUUUAAUAUAUUCACCUUAUC
rnacentral:lncRNA from 1 species